rnacentral:lncRNA from 1 species
CCACUUGAAAGAACCAGAAUAGUCUCUCUGUGCCAAGACGCAAGACGCUCAUUCACAUCUGUACGGUGCUUCAGUUAUAUAAGGCUCCCAGUGCCUACAGAAAGCUAUUUUGGGUGAAGAUACAGUGUCCUGACACCUCUCUUUCUGAAAACUCCACACAGCUACUGAAAUGAACAUUUCCAUCUCCAUGGGCUCACAGACCACUGAGUAACAGAAAACACUGUUGUAUUUCUGCCGACCAGCAUUUGGAAGCAGCCAGUCCUUCAAUCCCAGCCUACUCCAGUCCUCCUUGAGGAAAGAGUCACGGAUCACUCACUCGUCCCUGCCGUCCUCUGACUACCGUAAGGUCUCGCCCAGGGAGAAAAACCUCAACUGGAAUCACAGUGUUGCCAUUUCUGUUGGAUCCGAGGUGGUUUUGCAUCGAUUGGCAGUCCAGCAGUUUGUGCCCGGUGCCCAGAUCUGGAGACAACAAAAACAAUAACUUUUUUUUCCCAAAUAUCUUUUUGUGUAUGGGUAUUUUGCCUGAAUGCUUGUACGUGUACCACGUGCAUGUCUGGUGCCCGCAGAGGCUAGAAGAGGGGACAUCGGAUCUGGACCUCGAGCUACAGAUGGUUGCACACACCUCACUUGAACCUGUGGAGGUCAGAGGACACCGUGGGGAAUUAUUCAUCUCCUAUACACCAGGUGGAUCUUGAGCUCAAACUCAGGUUGUCAGGCCUGCCAGUGAGCUCCCUUAUCUGCUGAGCCAUCUCAGUGUCAGGGGCAUGGUUUUCUUCACCAUACGGAUUCCAUUCCCUUUGGAUAUAUAGUUAGAAGAGGCACCACUGAAUUACACGGUGUUCUGCCCUGUCAUUUUGGAGGAUGUUAUUGUUUUCCAUCAUGUCUAUGUUGAUUUGCAUCCCCAUUAACAGCAUAUUUAUGGUCCCACGUCACCACCUCCACUCGUGACAUCUUGCCUUUACAGCUUCUGCAGGAUCAUUAAUACAUGUAAUGUCAUGUUCAGGUAUUUGGGCAGAAGAGAAAGCCAAUGUUUGAGGUAAUAGUUCUCAAACUGAAGAAGAAAAGAUAAACUGGACCAGGGGAAUAUAUUUGGAAAAAAACUUAUCUGGAAAAACACCGUUACUUAAAUAUAUAAAGAAUUCUUGGAACCUAACAACAAGAAGAUCUGAUUUUUAAAGACUGGCCAAAGACAUGAAAACACACAUCUCACUAAUAAUUCCUAUGUGGAUGAUGAUAAGCAUAAAGAUGCUGCAGAAAAAAAAUUAACAAAAAUUAAUUAAAAAUUUUAAAAUUAAAAAAUUAAAAAUUAUAGGAUGUCAUCUCACUAGGUAACCACAGAAUAGUCAAAUCCAGAACACUGUCAGCACCAGUACUGCCAAGGACCUGGGUCUUCUAACUCCCACACAAAGCUGGAGGGAAGAUCCAGUCACUGCGUCCCUUGCCACUGACCCAAAGGGAUUCAGAACUUACACCUCAGCCAAUGAAAUAUUCAGCAACAAAAAAGGUCAUCUACUAGACCAUGACUAUCAGAGGCACCUCCAUGCACACUGCUAAUAGACGAACAUCCUUAGCACUGAGCAUUGGACCAGCCCCUAGCAUUGUUUGGAAAAGAGCUCUUUCUAGCUCUUGUGGUCAAAAUGUAUCAGUGGAAAAAAAAUGUGAUUUAAAUAGACUUUAGGUCUACAGCAAGCUUGAAUAGAAAAAACAGAAUUCCCAUAUUCUCUGUACCCACCCUCCAAAAAUAUAACAACUACCUCUGCCCCUACCAACAUUGUACACCAAAGACUAUAGUUUAUAUUCAGGCUCACUCGUGCUGUUCAGACACAAACCAACAUGGAUCUGCCCCUGUGGAAUCGCACAGCAGGGUCCCAAGGUCCUUGAAAUCCUGAGCAUCACUAACUCAUCCUCCCUGAGCCUCUGUGACCGUUCACCUUCACCUGCUUGCACAGUUUUGCUUUUCCUAGAAUGCCCUAUUUGGGACCAUAUAGUAUUUAGGAUUUUCCUCGAGUACCCAGGUAAAAGCUGGGCAGCUAUCAUUCCAGUACUGUGGGGUGGGGAGACAAGUGGAACCCUGGAGCGCACUGGCCAGCCAGUGGAGCUAAAUAAAUAAGACUCGGUGAGAAACCCGUUCUCAAAAUAUAAAACAGAACAAAACGACAACAACAACAAACACAAAAAAUGAGAGCAAUUGAGACAUCUGACACACAUUUCUGGUCUCCACAUGUAUGUGUAUAUGUGUUCAGGUGCAGCUACAAACACGUGUGACACACACAAAGUCAUACAUAUAACACACAUACACACAAUUUUAAAAUGUUAAAUGCUAAAGGCCUUCAAACGACAGGCAGAUUGAAUAAAAUCCACAAGCAUUAGAUAUGAAUAACAGAAUAACAGUCUUUCCCCCACAUGUGAGGUCUGACAAUUUCUAACAGCCAGAAAUGAAGUCAGGAAACUGGGGGGGGGGGGGGGAGAAAGACUCUUGGCACGAGGAAAACUAUCCUCAAAGCCCACAGACAGAAACCAACGCCUAUCUGCAGCACUUGCAUCUGAAAAAUACCUUCAGUGAGCUCUUGAGAGCAAGACUGCAUCCCAUAUAGGAAAUAAACUUUACCCAGGUAGAAUUAACUGGAAUGAGUCAAUUUUUACUAAAGUAGGGCUGUCUGAUGUAGUCCAGCCUGGCUUUGAACUUGUGACCCUCCUGUCUGCUUCUGGAGUAUUAGUUUCAGGUAUACACACCUAACCCCAGUUAAUAAUUCUCUACCCUGAAUACGUAGGAGCACAGCGGUUCCACCACUGAGAGAGUAAGAGGACCAGGAUCCUAGUCUUCUUUUCUGCCAAUAACCAGCAGGAUAAUUUUGAUUUUUAUCUGAGCCGCCUUCUGUAAAGAUUACAAAAAUCCUUCCAAGUUGUAAACGUCAAACAACAAACACGUGGUUGGAAGGGAAAGGUGAAGUGCACCGCGAACAAGGAUCUAUCACUCCACACUUACCGGGCCCACCUUUCCUGGGCUGAUCCAGGCGAAGCCUGGAACAUGAAGAACAGAGAGAGUAAAUGACUCAAUCUUCACCUUUGGGGACUUCCCACCCGGUGAGGAGGCCAGGCAACAACCAACCAAUAGGGCAUGUUCCUCUCUCGGGAAGUUACAUUAGAACCUCAGGACGAAAAGUGUUAGGAGUCAGAAUAUUUCAGGCAAGGGAACUUUAAAGUUCCUAAAACAGGGAAGACUUGGGGUGAUGGUGGGGGAACUGGGGAAAAUAAAAGGCAAAAGCAGAAAUCAUUACUAAAGAGAAGAAUACAAGUCUUGAUGGAGUAGGAAGGAUGGUAGUCUCUGAGCAAUCUUAAGUCUCCACCAGUUCUGAAGGGCCUUAAGUAGGUUGGCAACACACACCAUGUGGACUAGAGCACUAGGAAGUGGGAAAUCAGAAAGUUAUCAUGGGAAUGGAAACAAGUAUGGCGGCCUAACUGAGCCCUCCAUGACAUCCCAAGUGGCAGACGGGAGGAGAGACCUAGGGAUCUGAUGGUAGUGGCGUUAGUAAGGCUUAUUAGUCCCUUCAUUUGCAUGUCUGAGGAGAAGAUGAGUCAAGGGCUCAGAAUUCAUGUAGUCCAAGUUACUAACUCUGAGACAACAAAGGGAAUUAAGAGUAAUUUGAAAGAAAAAGCUCACUUGAGACAGGGUGGGAGUGGACAUCUUAUGGAGGAACUGACAUCCUAGCAUGUUGAUAGCAUGUUUGCCUUUGCUCACAAUGAUUGUGUGUGUGUGUGUGUGUGUGUGUGUGUGUAUUCCCCUCUAAGAAUCAACCUUUUCACCAUUGUAUACACGUCGCCUAGCAAAAUUCCUGGGCUCACACUUUGUAUGCCAAUAAACAUUUAAACGUGUUCCUGAAAAUAAACUUCCUGGUUGGUCAUGGUGACUCACGUUUAUUAUCUCAGGAUGCUGAGGAAGGACGACAGUGAGUCCGAGGCCAGCCUGGGCUACAUACACAGUGAGACUGCCUCAGAAACAAACAGAAAGGGGAGGUGGUAUAAAGACUCAGUAGCUGAAGCGUUUGUGACCAAAUCUGCUCACCAGAGUUUGAUCCCCAGGACCUGGGUAGAAAGGAUAGAAGCAAAUUGUUCUCCUGUCUUCAGGCAUGCUCUGGAUGUCUCCUCCCCAAAUACAUGCAGCAAAAAGAAAAGACAAACUAAAAUUCUUCCUCCUCAGAGCUUUAUGCUCAUGCCCCUAUUCAAAACAAAUUCUACCAACUCCAGUCUUGCUCCAAAUUUGAAGUGUAGAAUCAAAACGAGGCUGGAGAGAUGGCUCAGUGGUUAGGAGCUUGUAUUGCUCUUCUUACAGAGGACUCCCGUUCGGCUCCUUUUGGGUUGUUCCUAAUGCCCGUCAACUCUACCUCCAGUCUCCUCCUGUCUCAAGGCACACCUGCGCUCACGGGCACAUACACGGACACACAUACACAUAACUAAAACAAAAAGAUCUUUUAAGUACAACUUUAGAUUUAAUUUACUCUGAAAUUCAGUCACCUGUCAUCCCCACCAUCCCUGGCUACUUUUAGAGUGAAGGCAGGGUGACAGUCGAUUUAUGACACUGGAUUAAAUACUUUGCAAUUUGCCUUGAAA